rnacentral:rRNA from 1 species
UACGGAGGGUGCGAGCGUUGUCCGGAAUCAUUGGGCGUAAAGGGCGCGUAGGUGGCGGGAUAAGCGUGCGGUGAAAGCUUGGGGCUCAACCCCGAGUCGGCCGUGCGAACUGUUCUGCUUGAGCACUGUAGAGGCAGGCGGAAUUCCGGGUGUAGCGGUGGAAUGCGUAGAGAUCCGGAAGAACACCGGUGGCGAAGGCGGCCUGCUGGGCAGUAGCUGACACUGAGGCGCGACAGCGUGGGGAGCAAACAGG